rnacentral:rRNA from 1 species
AUUUGUCUGGUUAAUUCCGAUAACGAACGAGACCUUAACCUGCUAACUAGUUCAUAAUACUCUGUAUUUUGCAACUUCUUAGAGGGACUAUGUAAAUCAAUUACAUGGAAGUUUGAGGCAAUAACAGGUCAGUGAUGCCCUUAUAUGUCCUGGGCUGCACGCGGCUACACUGAUGCAUACAACAAGUGCCUAGCCAGACAUGGUAUGGCAAUCUCGAAUAUGCAUCGUGAUGGGGAUAGAUCUUUGCAAUUAUAGAUCUUGAACGAGGAAUUCCUAGUAAGUGCAAGUCAUCAUCUUGCAUUGACUAUGUCCCUGCCCUUUGUACACACCGCCCGUCGCUCCUACCGAUACCGGGUGAUCCGGUGAACCUUUUGGACUCUGUAAAGGGGAAGAUAAGUAAACCAUAUCACCUAGAGGAAGGAGAAGUCGUAACAAGGUUUCCGUAGGUGAACCUGCRGAAGGAUCA